AUGGGCAAGCUUUCAGUUGGCCUAACCAUCCCAUUUGGCCUUCGGAUUGUAAUACUUGGGCUUGGGAUAGUUGACCUAGGUAGACUUCUAUCCAUCCCUGUUGAUGCGCCAGAUGUUGAUGGACUCUCAAACCUCUGCAUGGAUGUUGGUGCGCUGUCCACCGGACGACCAACCUUACCAUUUCCCUUGUGCAGAGCAUUAGCAGGGCUUCUGAGCAACGGAGAGUUGGUGCCAAUUUCUUUCCUUGCAGUCUCUUUAUUUGGGCUCUCAGUUCUCUUCUGCACCAGUAUGCUAAUGUUACUGAUACGCUGCCCCGUUCCCUCUUUCCUUGGCACAGAAUCAGUAGAGUUGGAGAGAGGUCUCGUGACUUUGACUCUUUCCUUCUCCACCAUAGGUGUUGUACUAAAGCCAUCAGAGCCUCCUUGA
rnacentral:rRNA from 1 species